rnacentral:lncRNA from 1 species
AAUCACUGUCUGAAUUGGCAGCAGUACUUUAAUUUCCUAAAUCUUUGCCCUGUGCUUGAACUAUUAGGCAGUCUUGUCUCUGCUUUCACACUGAAUGAAGUAUCCCACAGCUAAUGUGAGACUAAUUCAAAGCUCAGGCCUUUCACAGCUCUCGGCACCCUAAUCGACUCCUGGCUUGACUUGAUAAUUUAAAAAGAUGGAAAUUGCAAAAUGUACGUCUUUGUGACCUUAAGGCUGUUUCCUAUUUUCAGCUCGGUUGCUCUUUGGCUUUCUCCAAGCUCUAAAGUUUUGUACUCUAUUACUCUACAGAACAGAUAUACUGAAUCUGCUAAGGGUCACUGUUUUAUCAGUUAGUUCUAAUCCGGAUUUCCCACUUGUCAUCCUCAGCUCACUCUGGUCAGGCCAUACACCCACUUCUCUGUGUAGCAGUUCUUCCCAUACGUCAACUAAACAGUCUCAGCCUCUGUAGAAGUACAAAUUGACCUGCCCAAGAUAGCUGCUUCAGAGGAAACCCAGGAGUGUUAAUGCUUAAGUCUGCAUGCUGGAGCAAUGACAUUGGCAAGAUCAAGGCCAAGACUGCGCCGUUAUUUUCCUGGGUAAAAGUUCAGAGAAUCAUCAAGAACUCUGCUAUGAGUUGUGCCCAUGGCUCUGCAGAGCAGGAAUUAAAGCAACAACCUGCCUGGGAUCAGUAUGAGCAGAGGGAGAAUCCAGUUCCAGGUGUUCAGCCAUGGCAAAGGCAGAAGCAGACACUGUCAGCAUGUUUCAGCCCCCUUGACAGCCACUACUGA